GGCUGUGUGGCAGAGUGGUCAUGCAGCGGACUGCAAAUCCGUGUACGCCGGUUCAAUUCCGGCCUCAGCCUCCA
rnacentral:tRNA from 1 species